GGAGGAAAAGGGGACGACAGAGGAUGAGAUGGCUGGAUGGCAUCACUGACUCGAUGGACGUUUUUUGGACAGGAGGCAUGUGGGAUCUUACCUCCCUGACCAGGGUUCAAACCUGUACCCCACGCAUUGGAAGGAAAGUCGUAACCACUGGACCACCAGGGAAGUCCAUCCCUAGAGCAUGGACUAUUGCAGAGGCAGAUGGAAGGAGGCAGCACCACCAGAUACCAGAGGGGCCUGAGCUGGGGGUACUGAAACCCCCUCCAGGUGGGAGAAGUUAAUGAUUAAUGAUGGUAUGCUGCCAACAAACCUGUAGACCCCAGACCAGUUAGACCUGAAGGUUGACGAUGCUGACUCCUGCUUACCUGACCACCAACCCAUCAGAAGAAUGUCCACAAACAGAUCAUACCUCUUUGAGCAGUUACUAUAAAACUUCUCACUCCCUUCCCCAAGCUGGGACACAUGG